rnacentral:rRNA from 1 species
UACGUAGGGGGCGAGCGUUGUCCGGAUUUAUUGGGCGUAAAGAGCGUGUAGGCGGCCAGGUAGGUCUGCUGUGAAAACUCGAGGCUCAACCUCGAGACGUCGGCGGAAACCAUCUGGCUAGAGUCCGGAAGAGGCGAGUGGAAUUCCUGGUGUAGCGGUGGAAUGCGAAGAUAUCAGGAGGAACACCAAUAGCGAAGGCAGCUCGCUGGGACGGUACUGACGCUAAGGCGCGAAAGCGUGGGGAGCGAACAGG